AACGAACGCUGGCGGCAUGCCUAACACAUGCAAGUCGAACGAGACCUUCGGGUCUAGUGGCGCACGGGUACGUAACGCGUGGGAACCUGCCCUUAGGUUCGGAAUAACUCCCCGAAAGGGGUGCUAAUACCGGAUAAUGUCUUCGGACCAAAGAUUUAUCGCCUUUGGAUGGGCCCGCGUUGGAUUAGCUAGUUGGUAGGGUAAAAGCCUACCAAGGCGACGAUCCAUAGCUGGUCUGAGAGGAUGAUCAGCCACACUGGGACUGAGACACGGCCCAGACUCCUACGGGAGGCAGCAGUGGGGAAUAUUGGACAAUGGGCGAAAGCCUGAUCCAGCAAUGCCGCGUGAGUGAUGAAGGCCUUAGGGUUGUAAAGCUCUUUUACCCGGGAUGAUAAUGACAGUACCGGGAGAAUAAGCUCCGGCUAACUCCGU
rnacentral:rRNA from 1 species